AAUCAUGGCUCAGGAUGAACGCUGGCGGCGUGCAUAACACAUUCAAGUCGAACGAGGCAGCAAUGCCUAGUGGCGGACGGGUGAGUAACGCGUGAGCAACCUGCCCUUGCGUGGGGGAUACCAUCUGGAAACGGAUGUUAAUACCGCAUAAAGUACAAGCGACCGCAUGGUCGUAGUACCAAAGAUUUAUUGCGCAAGGAUGGGCUCGCGUCCCAUUAGAUAGUUGGUGAGGUGACGG
rnacentral:rRNA from 1 species